rnacentral:rRNA from 1 species
AAAUUGAAGAGUUUGAUCAUGGCUCAGAUUGAACGCUGGCGACAGGCCUAACACAUGCAAGUCGAACGGUAACAGGAAGCAGCUUGCUGCUUUGCUGACGAGUGGCGGACGGGUGAGUAAUGUCUGGGAAACUGCCUGAUGGAGGGGGAUAACUACUGGAAACGGUAGCUAAUACCGCAUAACGUCGCAAGACCAAAGAGGGGGACCUUCGGGCCUCUUGCCAUCGGAUGUGCCCAGAUGGGAUUAGCUAGUAGGUGGGGUAACGGCUCACCUAGGCGACGAUCCCUAGCUGGUCUGAGAGGAUGACCAGCCACACUGGAACUGAGACACGGUCCAGACUCCUACGGGAGGCAGCAGUGGGGAAUAUUGCACAAUGGGCGCAAGCCUGAUGCAGCCAUGCCGCGUGUAUGAAGAAGGCCUUCGGGUUGUAAAGUACUUUCAGCGGGGAGGAAGGGAGUAAAGUUAAUACCUUUGCUCAUUGACGUUACCCGCAGAAGAAGCACCGGCUAACUCCGUGCCAGCAGCCGCGGUAAUACGGAGGGUGCAAGCGUUAAUCGGAAUUACUGGGCGUAAAGCGCACGCAGGCGGUUUGUUAAGUCAGAUGUGAAAUCCCCGGGCUCAACCUGGGAACUGCAUCUGAUACUGGCAAGCUUGAGUCUCGUAGAGGGGGGUAGAAUUCCAGGUGUAGCGGUGAAAUGCGUAGAGAUCUGGAGGAAUACCGGUGGCGAAGGCGGCCCCCUGGACGAAGACUGACGCUCAGGUGCGAAAGCGUGGGGAGCAAACAGGAUUAGAUACCCUGGUAGUCCACGCCGUAAACGAUGUCGACUUGGAGGUUGUGCCCUUGAGGCGUGGCUUCCGGAGCUAACGCGUUAAGUCGACCGCCUGGGGAGUACGGCCGCAAGGUUAAAACUCAAAUGAAUUGACGGGGGCCCGCACAAGCGGUGGAGCAUGUGGUUUAAUUCGAUGCAACGCGAAGAACCUUACCUGGUCUUGACAUCCACGGAAGUUUUCAGAGAUGAGAAUGUGCCUUCGGGAACCGUGAGACAGGUGCUGCAUGGCUGUCGUCAGCUCGUGUUGUGAAAUGUUGGGUUAAGUCCCGCAACGAGCGCAACCCUUAUCCUUUGUUGCCAGCGGUCCGGCCGGGAACUCAAAGGAGACUGCCAGUGAUAAACUGGAGGAAGGUGGGGAUGACGUCAAGUCAUCAUGGCCCUUACGACCAGGGCUACACACGUGCUACAAUGGCGCAUACAAAGAGAAGCGACCUCGCGAGAGCAAGCGGACCUCAUAAAGUGCGUCGUAGUCCGGAUUGGAGUCUGCAACUCGACUCCAUGAAGUCGGAAUCGCUAGUAAUCGUGGAUCAGAAUGCCACGGUGAAUACGUUCCCGGGCCUUGUACACACCGCCCGUCACACCAUGGGAGUGGGUUGCAAAAGAAGUAGGUAGCUUAACCUUCGGGAGGGCGCUUACCACUUUGUGAUUCAUGACUGGGGUGAAGUCGUAACAAGGUAACCGUAGGGGAACCUGCGGUUGGAUCACCUCCUU